AUCAUCCCCUGGAAGACGCAGAGGGCAUGCUUACACCCUCCCCGUGUAGAAACAGGCACCGCGUGAAACUGCUGGGUUUAUUUUCAUAGCAUCUGAAAAGCGUGUACUGAGCUUUUGUUGUUUCAGUCCCUGCCUUAAAACCCGGAAUACAGACUGGCAACGGCAAUGCCUCCGCUGAUGGGGUGAUAGGGAAAGCGCUGCAGACAAGAUCUUUUCCCCUGUGCGUGUCUUAAAGAAGGAUUAGUCAGCUCUUCUCCUGCUCAUCGCUGUGCUCGCUCAGCUGUGCUCAUUGCAUCACUUGUGCUGGAGGGGAGGCAGCAAGAGGUGGAACCGUCGGGGACAGCAGCAGUCGUGUGAUCCAUGGCCCUCUAGUCACAUCGUCCUAACCAGGACCUGCAACCUAAGAAGAGACGCCAGCAUUCCUUGAGAACUGCACUGCACAUGCUGAGGACAAAGAGCAGCUCCUUCUGGCUUUUUGCAUGAUUAGUUGCAGCUCUCCGCCUGGAUCUUCCUUGUUCCGAUGGUUUGAUUUUUACAGUAGUGUGCUGUGCAUAUUUUGCAAGUUACAGCUUGAAACUUCCUCCUAGCAGCAGGCUCUGUCAUUUGAAGGAACCCCACCCUGCUCUCCCUUGAAGAUGUGCAAUCCCAGGCUGUGUCUGAGCAUGCCUGGGGAGGCAGGUGCAGCCUGGCUGGAUCCUCCACACUGCCUACAAAUAAACACUACUUAAACAAAUUGGACUAAUAACAUUCAAGACUCAAGUAAUAAGCAGGGCAGUUUCUGCUCUGUAGUCUUUAUUCCGUGCUUCUCCCAUCCCCUCUCCCUCUGCUUUAUAUUCUGAAAUAUGUGCCACGAUCACAUUGCUGUGGCAAUUAAUUACAGCACAACUUUAUAGCACUGGAUAACAAUAGCAGUAGAUAAUACGUAGCACCUUCAUUGAAAGCAACAACGCCAGAUUAAAGUUGCUUUAAAAAAAAAAAGCACGUUUCCUUCCUGCUGUUGCAAAUAAAGAGCUACAUGAAAUUAA